rnacentral:rRNA from 1 species
GACGAACGCUGGCGGCGUGCUUAACACAUGCAAGUCGAACGGCAAGGCCCUGCUUUUGUGGGGUGCUCGAGGGGCGAACGGGUGAGUAACACGUGAGUAACCUGCCCUUGACUUUGGGAUAACUUCAGGAAACUGGGGCUAAUACCGGAUAGGAGCUCCUGCUGCAUGGUGAGGGUUGGAAAGUUUCGGCGGGUGGGGAUGGACGCGCGGCUUAUCAGCUUGUUGGUGGGGUAGUGGCUUACCAAGGCUUUGGCGGGUAGCCGGCCUGUGAGGGUGGCCGGCCACAUUGGGACUGAGAUACGGCCCAGACUCCAACGGGAGGCAGCAGUGGGGAAUAUGGCCCAAUGGGCGGAAGCCUGAUGAAGAAACGCCGCGUGCGGGAUGACGGCCUUCGGGUUGAAAACCGCAUUAGCCUGUGACGAAGCGUUUGUGACGGUAAUGGGUAAAGAAGCACCGGCUAACUACGUG